GUGGGGAAUAUUGGACAAUGGGCGAAAGCCUGAUCCAGCAAUGCCGCGUGAGUGAAGAAGGCCUUCGGGUUGUAAAGCUCUUUUACCCGGGAAGAUAAUGACUGUACCGGGAGAAUAAGCCCCGGCUAACUCCGUGCCAGCAGCCGCGGUAAUACGGAGGGGGCUAGCGUUGUUCGGAAUUACUGGGCGUAAAGCGCACGUAGGCGGUCUUUUAAGUCAGAGGUGAAAGCCCGGGGCUCAACUCCGGAAUUGCCUUUGAAACUGGAAGACUUGAACACGGGAGAGGUGAGUGGAAUUCCGAGUGUAGAGGUGAAAUUCGUAGAUAUUCGGAGGAACACCAGUGGCGAAGGCGGCUCACUGGACCGUUGUUGACGCUGAGGUGCGAAAGCGUGGGGAGCAAACAGGAUUAGAUACCCGAGUAGUCC
rnacentral:rRNA from 1 species